rnacentral:rRNA from 1 species
AUGGCAUGGGGAGGCCUCUUCUUGAGCCUGAGCCGCCCCACACCGGAACAGCAGAAGUCGUGCCUGGCGGCUGCCGGCGGCUUCAACUACGACACGGACCUCCAUGGCGCCACCCACCCGAAAUCACCAGCCGCAUUAACAACCGCUGAAGACUCCGACAGGGUGCUGGCGGACCGCGGCUUCUCCGUGAACCGCUCGCGCGUCCUCGUCGGAUCCGGCGCCGACACCUUCCGCCACGCCAAGUCGGCCCUCCUCUCCUGGAAGCAUCUGGCGCUGGGGUGGGCGGAGGCGGAGCCGGGCACGCCAGUGAAGAUCGGCGCGAGGUUCUGCAUCUGCUACAAGGAGGUGGUCCCCUGGGUGAUGUUCCCGCUGCAGAUCGCCUACGUCACCGACGACAAGUACAAUGGCGGCAAGCGCGGGAAAGGCGGCGUGUUCGCGUUCGGCAGCGGCACCCUGCAGGGCCAUCUGCUGGCCGGGGAGGAGCGGUUCUCGGUGGAGGUGGACGCGGAGGAGCGGGUGUGGUACGAGGUGGUGUCCUUCUCCAAGCCGGCGCACCCGCUGUCGGCGCUGUGCUACCCCUACGUGCGCCUCCGGCAGAGGCACUUCGCGCGGGAGUCCGGCAAGGCGGUGCUCAGGCACGUCGCCGCCGCCUGCUCCUCCUCCAGGACGCCGCCGCCGACGCAGUGA